rnacentral:pre_miRNA from 1 species
CAUGUUAAAUAGAAGACAUUCUGGUAUUGCUUCUUUCUAGUUAGCUAACUAGGCUUAUUAGAAUCAGUAGCAAUUAUAAGAUUGACUAUAUUAUAGACAUAAAAUAAUAAAGAAGCACAUUACCUUUUUAGUACACUCAUUUUAGUAC